GUCACUGGGUACAACCAGACCUGUUUCUUAGGGAGUCUGUGUUUUGGAGGCAUUCUGUGUCUCUGCCAUUUUAGGACAGUAGCUCCAACAAGCACUUCAUUUUUUUGCAGCAGAGGCCAGAUCUACAGCACACUUCAGUAUAAGGGUUUGUUUGCUAUGAAUUGAAAUGAGAAUUCAAUUACAGAGAGAGAGUGACAUGCAAGUUGCAGGAACCUGCUCUCUCCUGCCACGUACCUAAUCGUGUCCACUUUUUCCUGCAGGGCGGUUUUUCUUCCUUGAAUCCAGGUGGCGGGCCCCUGCUGUCACGGCAGGUCUGGGUCAGGAGGAACAAGUCCUCAGGUCUCCAAGCGGACUGCUGGCAUUCUGUAGAGGUAUCAAAGUUCCUACAGAAAUCAACCAUGGCAGGACUCUAAAUGAAGCAACUGCCAGCAAAAUGCUUGUUGACCCCUUUACAGAUUAUCAUAGCAUUGCUCUAGUUCCAUUCUCUGAUCUGUGUAUUGCCUGCUUCUUCCCUGACUGGUCUGGAAGGCUGAGCCAACAUGUGGAAGACAGACUUCAUAGAGAAUAUUCUGGACUUGGAAUGGAUUUUAUCUCAAUGACAGGUGCCGCUUCCAUUGUGCUGUGUGGAGUUGAUGGUCGCACCUUUCUCUGAGGCUGGCUAUGCGAAUACAAAUGGACAAGAUCACAAUAACUCCUAUUCCGGGGAUGGCAAAUACAUGUCACUUCUCAUCCCACCGCUUGAAGAGCGUUCCCUGCAUAGAGUACCAUGUUGGAAAUGAUUACGAGGUGACAGGUAGAGUAAAGGGGACAGGAUGCUAUGAGCAAAGGUAAGUUCUGUUGGAGCUCAGGAUGGGAAGGGAUGGCAUGCACGAUCUCUCUGUCCCUCUCAUUUCUUCAGGGCUCAGCUUGGGUGUCCUUCUUUCAGCAAGCCUCCUCUGACCAUGAGUUGAGAGUAGAUGCCCUUUCUCUGAGCUUCUACAGCGACUUGUGAUGAUGAUACUGUCACAUUUCCCAAAUUGCAUUUUUAAUCAUUGUUGAGAUAUAAUGGACGUACAUACUUGUACAAUCUGGUAAGUUUUGGCAUAUGAAUAAUCUGUAAAACCAACUCCACAAUUACGUUAGUCAACAUACCCAUCUCUUCCAAAAGUUUCCUUAUGCUCCGUGGUAAUCUGUCCUGCCAGUCCCUCCCUGCCCCUUGCCCACCCCUGGCCUCACCAAGAGGCCACUGUUCUGGUUUUAGUCACUGUUGACUAGUUUGAAUUUUUGAGAGUUUUAUAUAAAUAGAAUCAUUCCCUAUGGAUUAUUAUUUUUAAAAUUUGGC